rnacentral:rRNA from 1 species
CCCUUAGAUGUUCUGGGCCGCACGCGCGCUACACUGAUGCAUUCAACGAGUCUAAAACCUGCUCUGAUAGGGGUGGGUAAUCUUUUGAAUGUGCAUCGUGAUUGGGAUAGAUGAUUGCAAUUUUUCAUCUUCAACGAGGAAUGCCUAGUAAGCGCAAGUCAUCAGCUUGCGUUGAUUACGUCCCUGCCCUUUGUACACACCGCCCGUCGCUCCUACCGAUUGAAUGGUCCGGUGAAGCGCUCGGACCGCGGCCUCUUGACGGUUCGCUGUCGAUUGGCUGUGGGAAGUUCGUUAAACCUUAUCAUUUAGAGGAAGGAGAAGUCGUAACA